GCUGCAGUGCUUGCUAGUUCAGAGAUCUGGGAGGGACGAAGUCCGGACCUGAGCAAAGCUUCCUAGUUCUGCUUCCCGUAACCCCCACGCGAUGUGUGGCCGCGAUUGUCUUUUACCCACUUUCUCCCGGUGUCGUGAGCCGGCCUUGGAGGGUUAGCUACUCACUGGUUUUCCUAAAUUGGUAUCUUCCCGGCAUCUUCACCAGAGGUAGAUUCCAUCUCAAGAAACCGAUUUGCCUUGCACUUGUUUAUCGGAUGGAGAUGGCUUCUUUCCUUAAACCUCAGGAACCAACUUCCACUAGCUUCAAACUUUUCUUCUGGAGCUUCCUCACCUCUCUCAGCCUUCACAGAAUUAAAGAGAGUUAGGGUCUUGAACUGGAUUAGGCUUUGGCUGAAGGGAAUAUUGAGGCUGGUUAGAUUUAUCCAGACCACUAAAACUUUCUUCAUGUCAACAAUAAGGCUGUUUCACUUUCUUAUCAUUUGUGGCUUCACUGGCAUAGAACUUUUAAUUUAUUUCUGUAAUGCUUCCUUUGCAUUCACAACUUGGCUAACUGUAGAUGCAAGAGGCCUAGCUUUCAGCCUAUCUUGCCUUUCAGCAUGCCUUAAGUUUAAUCAUUUCUAGCUUUUGAUUUAAAGUGAAACACAUUUGACUCUUCUUUUCACUUGAACACUCAGAGACCACUGUAGGCUUAUUAAUUGGCCUAACUUGAAUAUUGCUGGGUUUCAGGAAACAGGAGGCCUGAUUAUGGGGAGCAGGUAAGAGGGUUGUAGGGAGACAAUCUGUUGGUGGAGCAGUCAGAACACAUGAUGCUUAUUGAUUCAGUUUGCUGUUUUAUAUAGAUAUGUGGUUUUUGGUGUCCCAAAAUAAUUACAAUAGUAACAUCAAAGAUCAUUGAUCACGGAUCAUCUUAACAGAUAUAAUAAUAAUGAAAAGAUUUGAAAUAUUGUGAGAAUUACCAAAAUAUGACACAGAGACAUGAAGCGAGCUUUUGGGAAAAUUGUGUCAAUGGACUUGCUCAAUGAAGGGUUACCAUAAAGCUUCAAUUUGUAAAAAGCACAAUAUCUGUGAAAUGCAAUAAAAUGAAGUGCUGUAAAACGAGA